GCGCACGGGUGAGUAACGCGUAGAUAACCUGCCCUAUAGUCUGGGACAACCUUUCGAAAGGAGGGCUAAUACCGGAUAACACCUUGAUUCGAGUGGAUUAAGGUUGAAAGAUUUAUCGCUAGAGGAUGGGUCUGCGUAUCAUUAGCUUGUUGGUGGGGUAACGGCCUACCAAGGCGACGAUGAUUAGCGGGUCUGAGAGGAUGAUCCGCCACACUGGAACUGAGACACGGUCCAGACUCC
rnacentral:rRNA from 1 species